rnacentral:lncRNA from 1 species
UUUAAGCAUUUAGCAACCGCUGGAACUCUACCUCGUUGGCUGCGAUGGCAGAGGAGGAUGAGAGGAAGGGAUCUACGUCUAGGAUUUCAGUCAAUUGAGUGAGGGGAGAAGGGGAAAUAAUAAUUGAAUUUUCUUUUCUUUUUCUUUUCUGUUUAUAAUCGUGCCGAAUGGACUGGGUGGGGUGCGUUGAGUAGAGUAUCCUUUUAUUUUAGUUGGAUUUGACUUUAUAUUUAGGUAUUAGUAGGUUUUAUUUUAAGUUUUGG